GACGAACGCUGGCGGCGUGCUUAACACAUGCAAGUCGAACGGAAAGGCCCUGCUUUUGUGGGGUGCUCGAGUGGCGAACGGGUGAGUAACACGUGAGUAACCUGCCCUUGACUUUGGGAUAACUUCAGGAAACUGGGGCUAAUACCGGAUAGGAGCUCCUGCUGCAUGGUGGGGGUUGGAAAGUUUCGGCGGUUGGGGAUGGACUCGCGGCUUAUCAGCUUGUUGGUGGGGUAGUGGCUUACCAAGGCUUUGACGGGUAGCCGGCCUGAGAGGGUGACCGGGGCCACGGUGGGUGGGAGAAGGCCCCGACGCCUACGGGGGGCGGCAGUGGGGGAUAUUUUGCAAUGGGGGGAGGAGCGAUGUAGAACAGCCGCGCGUGGGAUAACGGCGCCUUGGGUGUAAAACCCGUUUUCCGCUGACGAAGAGUGAGUGACGGUAAUGGGGAAAGAAGGACCGGCUAACAACGUG
rnacentral:rRNA from 1 species